CCUACGGGUGGCUGCAGUGGGGAAUAUUGGACAAUGGGGGGAACCCUGAUCCAGCCAUGCCGCGUGUGUGAAGAAGGCCCUCGGGUUGUAAAGCACUUUCAGUGAGGAAGAACGCCUGGUGGUUAAUACCCAUCAGGAAAGACAUCACUCACAGAAGAAGCACCGGCUAACUCCGUGCCAGCAGCCGCGGUAAUACGGGAGGGUGCGAGCGUUAAUCGGAAUUACUGGGCGUAAAGCGCGCGUAGGUGGCUUGAUAAGCCGGUUGUGAAAGCCCCGGGCUCAACCUGGGAACGGCAUCCGGAACUGUCAAGCUAGAGUGCAGGAGAGGAAGGUAGAAUUCCCGGUGUAGCGGUGAAAUGCGUAGAGAUCGGGAGGAAUACCAGUGGCGAAGGCGGCCUUCUGGACUGACACUGACACUGAGGUGCGAAAGCGUGGGUAGCAAACAGGAUUAGAUACCCGAGUAGUC
rnacentral:rRNA from 1 species